GCUCGAAGGGUUUCUCCCAAAGGCCGAUUUCAGAUUCCCCCCUCCUUUUGUUUCUUCCUCACCGGGAAGGGAAGGGAAGGGAAGGCGGUGAAGGAAGGAAGAAGGAACCUCAUCAGUUUUGGGUUGCAGAGAGAGGGAGAAAUGGAUUCAGAUCAAGGGAAGCUGUUCAUCGGGGGAGUGUCCUGGGAGACGACGGAGGAGAAGCUGAAGGACCACUUCGAAAAGUAUGGGGAGGUCACUCAGGCGGUCAUCAUGAGGGACAAGGUCACCGGACGACCCAGAGGCUUCGGAUUCGUUGUCUUCGCCGAUCCAUCCCUCCUCGAUAGGGUUCUUCAGGACAAGCAUACCAUCGACGGCAGAACCGUUGAGGCAAAGAGGGCCUUGUCAAGGGAAGAACAGCAAAUAUCGUCUAGGUCUGGGAACGCAAGUGCGGGGAGAAAUAGUGGAGCUGGUGGAAAUGUUAGAACCAAGAAGAUUUUUGUAGGCGGCCUUCCUUCAACAUUGACUGAAGAGGCGUUCCGUCAAUAUUUUGAGCAGUAUGGUAAUGUAACAGAUGUUGUAGUGAUGUAUGACCAGAGUACCCAGAGACCGAGAGGGUUUGGCUUUAUUUCGUUCGAGUCGGAAGAUGCUGUUGACAGAGUUCUACACAAGACAUUCCAUGACUUGAAUGGUAAACUUGUUGAGGUUAAACGAGCUCUGCCCAAGGAAGCAAAUCCUGGAGGUGGUGGGCGCACUGGUGGUGGGAGCUACCAAAGCUAUGGUGCUGCUGGUUCCAACAAUAACAGUUACGAUGGCAGAAUGGAUGCAAAUCGGUAUGGACAACCUCCAGCGGGAGGUGGAUUUGCUUAUGGUUCCUCUGGCUAUGGGGCACCCAGCUAUGGCUAUGGGACAGCUGCUAAUGGAAAUGUUGGUUAUCCAGGAUAUGGUGUUGGCGGAUAUGGAAGUGCUCCUCCAAACGCUGGUUACACUGGUCCAGCUGGUGGGUAUGUUAAUGCAUCUGGUCCCACCAGUGGUUACGUUAGUGGCCCACCUGGUGCUCCAAGGAGCCCAUGGAGUAACCAACCACCUACAGCCUAUGGAAUGCAGGGGAAUGCUGCAGGUUAUGGCGUCAGUGCUGGGUAUGGAGGUCCAGCUCCAUGGAAUACGUCUGGUGCUGGAGGUGGUGUUGGUAGUGGUGGAGCUCCUUCUGGACCUGCAGGUCAGUCACCUGGUGGUGGUGCAGGUUUCAACAAUGCAAACUAUGGUUAUGGUUAUGGUGAAGGGUCAUAUGGUGGUAAUCCUGGUAGCUAUGGUGCUGUUGGUGGGCGUUCUGGCAGUGUUCCAAAUAAUGCCUCUGGUGGCAUCAAUGAGCAAUCUGGAGGAAGUGGCAGUUAUAUGGGCGGUGGAUAUUCAGAAGCUAAUGGGAACUCUGGAUACCCGAAUGCCAUGUGGAGGUCUGAUCCUUCACAAGGUAUGACACAAGGUGGAGGCUAUGGUGUACCUCAAGCGAAUGGUGCACCUGGGGUGCAGGCUGGCUAUGGUGGCUAUGGUGCUGCUAAUCGGCAGAUCCAGUAGAGCGUUUCCAGGAUUAUUGGUCUUCUGGUUUCUGGUUUAUCAAAAGUGGCUACUUCAGCAAAAUGGAAUUUCUGCACUACUCCACCUGGUCAUGACAGCUCUUUCAGACUGGAAUGGAUUGCAGGACUGGAGAGAUGCGGUGCAUUUUUUAAGUUCUGCAGGGAGAUCUGAGAUAUGAGUGGGGAAUGCGCUGAAAACUCCGGAUCGACAGGGUUGUUUCAGCUUGUAAACUGAUCUGAUGGCGAGCAUCUGCAUCUGGAACCUUGUGAUGAUGGCUCUCCCCAUUAUGAAUUGCUUUCCAGCUUGCUGCUUGUGCAUAGGGUGAUGCAUUCAUUUGCUAUUUUUCUAAUUGUUCAUUGUUGUGCACUUUUCUAUCUGAGAUCCACUGAUUCUGUUCAUGAUCUUUUGAUGAGGCUGUUAGCCUCUAGGCUUCUGGAAACAAGAUGCUUUCCCUGUCUGUGUGGCUGUUUUUCUUUCAAGGAGUAAAUUAAAAUCGAUCUAAA